GACGAACGCUGGCGGCGUGCUUAACACAUGCAAGUCGAACGGAAAGGCCCUGCUUUUGUGCGGUGCUCGAGUGGCGAACGGGUGAGUAACACGUGAGUAACCUGCCCUUGACUUUGGGAUAACUUCAGGAAACUGGGGCUCAUACCGGAUAGGAGCUCCUGCUGCAUGGUGGUGGUUGGAAAGUUUCGGCGUUUGGGGAUGGACUCGCGGCUUAUCCGCUUGUUGGUGGGGUAGUGGCUGACCAAGGCUUUGACGGGUAGCCGGCCUGAGAGGGUGACCGGCGACAUUGGGACUGAGAUACGGCGCAGACUCCUACGGGAGGCAGCAGUGGGGAAUAUUGCACAAUGGGCGGAAGCGUGAGGCAGCAACGCCGCGUGCAGGAUGACGGCCUUCGGGUUGUAAACCGCUUUCGCCUGUGACGAAGCGGGAGUGACGGUAAUGGGUAAAGAAGCACCGGCUAACUACGUG
rnacentral:rRNA from 1 species